rnacentral:lncRNA from 13 species
CUCCUCGUCCUCUUCCCCUGACACAUUGAUGUCCACCUAAAAUCUGUGACCUUAUCUGAAAAUGGAGACUUUGCGGAUGUAAUCAAGUUAAGAUUCGGGAUUUUACCAUGUUGCCCAGGCUGGCCUUGAACUCCUAAGCUCAAGUGAUCUACCCAUCUUGGCCUCCCAAAGUGCUGGAAUUACAGAAGUAGGAUUGCUGGAUCAUAUGGCUGUUUGAUUUUUAAUUUGUUGAUGAACAUCUAUGCCAUUUCCUUGAAUGACCAUGGGUUGUACUAUUUCAUAAUUCUGCC